UUGUAGCAUACAAGGCAUACGGCUCAGUAACGCGUAGUCAACCUAACCUAUGGACGGGAAUAACCUCGGGAAACUGAGAAUAAUGCCCGAUAGAACACUAUACCUGGAAUGGUUUGUGUUCCAAAUGAUUUAUCGCCAUAGGAUGGGACUGCGGCCUAUCAGUUUGUUGGUGAGGUAAUGGCCCACCAAGACUAUUACAGGUACGGGCUCUGAGAGGAGUAGCCCGGAGAUGGGUACUGAGACACGGACCCAGGCCCUAUGGGGCGCAGCAGGCGAGAAAACUUUGCAAUGUGCGAAAGCACGACAAGGUUAAUCCGAGUGAUUUGUGCUAAACGAAUCUUUUGUUAGUCCUAGAAACACUAACGAAUAAGGGGUGGGCAAGUUCUGGUGUCAGCCGCCGCGGUAAAACCAGCACCUCAAGUGGUCAGGAUGAUUAUUGGGCCUAAAGCAUCCGUAGCCGGCUCUGUAAGUUUUCGGUUAAAUCUGUACGCUUAACGUACAGGCUGCCGGGAAUACUGCAGAGCUAGGGAGUGGGAGAGGUAGACGGUACUCGGUAGGAAGUGGUAAAAUGCUUUGAUCUAUCGAUGACCACCUGUGGCGAACGCGGUCUACCAGAACACGUCCGACGGUGAGGGAUGAAAGCUGGGGGGAGCAAACCGGAUUAGAUACCCUGGUAGUCCCAGCUGUAACUAUGCAACUCAGUGAAUGCAUGGCUGUGGUCCAAUGCAAGGUGCU
rnacentral:rRNA from 1 species